GCAAGUCGAGGGGCAGCAUGAGGGUAGCAAUACCUUGAUGGCGACCGGCGCACGGGUGCGUAACACGUAUCCAAUCUACCCAUGGGCUCGGGAAUAGCCUUUCGAAAGAAAGAUUAAGUGCCCGAUGGUCUGCCAGUGAGACAUCUCUCAGGCAGUAAAGAUUUAUCGGCGAUGGAUGAGGAUGGCGUCUGAUUAGGUAGAUGGCGGGGCAACGGCCCACCAUGCCGACGAUCAGUAGGGGUUCUGAGAGGAAGGUCCCCCACAUUGGAACUGAGACACGGUCCAAACUCCUACGGGAGGCAGCAGUGAAGGAAUAUUGGUCAAUGGUCGAGAGACUGAACCAGCCAAGGUUAAGCGUGAAGGAAGACUGCCCUAUGGGUUGUAAACUUCUUUUGUUUGGGAAUAAAGUCCGCUACGUGUAGCGGUUUGUAUGUACCUUACGAAUAAGCAUCGGCUAAUUCCGUGCCAGCCGCAGC
rnacentral:rRNA from 1 species